rnacentral:snoRNA from 1 species
GGCUCACAUCAGAAGGAAACAGAUUAAUGCUAUGACCAAAGACUGAAGUUCUCUAUAGAGUCUCUAGCACUCAAUAGUGCUAUAUUUUCCUGAGGAGAUACAAGA